CUACCUGCUGUGGACGUAAUGUGGUUUUUUAAUGUAGUGUAAAUUUUUUUUCAGACUUUUGUAGGUCAUGUCCUUUUUUGAUUGUUUUUUAAUAAAAAAAAAAUCGCAAACAUCCCUUCGGGUACCCUGCUAACGUAGGUAGCUGACAAUAUCUCAAGUUCAGUCCUUCAAAUAAUGAGUGUUUAGGCAUGUCUAAUAGAUGGCGCGUUAAUUGUGUCAGUUAUGGGCUCAUGGCGGUUUGCUGUCAAAAGUGAAGCUAUCUUUCUUUCGAAAAUUACCAAUGUAUUUACUGGUAAAUUCGAGUGAUUUCAUCUGUAGAUUGUCGGAGAAAACGUGUUGAAAGGGUCGUGCGGCUUACUGCUGUUAACCAUUUGUUAUUCGUUCAAAAUCAUUGUUCAAAAUCAUUUGUUCAAAAUCAAUAUGUGCCAUCAAAAUGAAACAGGAUUCAUCAUAAUUGUCUGCUGUUUGUAUUGGACUUGCUAGAUCGCCAAUCCCAGCCAUUUCCCUAUUUUGAGUGUACACUACUAACUGUUUAAUCAUUUCUAGAUCAUAUAUGUCAAGCACAUUGAUGACACAAACUAUGAACAAGGUGACUUAAUGUUUUUUUAUUUACAAGUUCUUCAUUUCAGGUUUCUAACACAUUGGCAUGACAGAUUUGAUGAGCUAAGUCAUAUUUUGAAGGAAAAGGACAAGGACCAUACAGUCAACAAGGUUCCUUGUUUGCUAACCCGGUGGCUGCUACCCUUCCAUCUCCCUGAUUUACUUCCUUACACAGGGUUUACAGGGUAACUCUUUUGCUACUGAUCACAUCAACUGUUGUAAACUGACGAGAAGGUGCUGCAAUUCAAGACUGAUACAUUGUGUAGUUGUUAGAUAAAUGACAAGUGCAUAUCUGGGCUCCCUUCUUUUCUGUGGCCCCGUUUCCCUAACUAACCACUAACCAACGCCCGCCGGUGGU